rnacentral:rRNA from 1 species
CAAUAGCGUAUAUUAAAGUUGUUGCGGUAAAAAAGCUCGUAGUUGGAUUUCUACCGAAGAUAGCCGGUCGGGUCUUCGACCUUGUAUCUGGUUUUGUCUUUGGUAUCCUCAUAGUGUACGUUUCUGCGCUUUAUUGCGUGGUGCGGUAUCUAUGACUUUUACUUUGAGGAAAUUAGAGUGUUCACGGCAGGCAAACGCCUUGAAUAUAUUAGCAUGGAAUAAUAACAUAGGAUCUUCGUCCUAUUUUGUUGGUUUCUAGGGCUAAGAUAAUGAUUAAUAGGGAUAAUUGGGGGCAUCUGUAUCAACGCGUCAGAGGUGGAAUUCUUGGAUUGCGUUGCGACAAACUACUGCGAAAGCAUUUGCCAAGGAUGUUUUCAUUGA